UCCUACGGGAGGCAGCAGUGGGGAAUAUUGGACAAUGGGCGCAAGCCUGAUCCAGCCAUACCGCGUGGGUGAAGAAGGCCUUCGGGUUGUAAAGCCCUUUUGUUGGGAAAGAAAAGCGAUCGGUUAAUACCCGGUUGUUCUGACGGUACCCAAGGAAUAAGCACCGGCUAACUUCGUGCCAGCAGCCGCGGUAAUACGAAGGGUGCAAGCGUUACUCGGAAUUACUGGGCGUAAAGCGUGCGUAGGUGGUGGUUUAAGUCCGUUGUGAAAGCCCUGGGCUCAACCUGGGAAUUGCAGUGGAUACUGGGUCACUAGAGUGUGGUAGAGGAUAGUGGAAUUUCCGGUGUAGCAGUGAAAUGCGUAGAGAUCGGAAGGAACAUCUGUGGCGAAGGCGACUAUCUGGGCCAACACUGACACUGAGGCACGAAAGCGUGGGGAGCAAACAGGAUUAGAUACCCUGGUAGUCCACGCCCUAAACGAUGCGAACUGGAUGUUGGGUUCAACUUGGAACCCAGUAUCGAAGCUAACGCGUUAAGUUCGCCGCCUGGGGAGUACGGUCGCAAGACUGAAACUCAAAUGAAUUGACGGA
rnacentral:rRNA from 1 species